rnacentral:rRNA from 1 species
GUGUGAUUCAUGACUGGGGUGAAGUCGUAACAAGGUAGCCGUAGGGGAACCUGCGGCUGGAUCACCUCCUUAAUCGACGACAC